CAAAGAUCUUUAAGAAACAUCAAUCUCUCUGCUCUCAGGAAACUUGCUAAGUUUCAGGUGGAUAAAACACUGAUGACAUUUUAUUGAGUCUGUGCUGACUUUCUCCAUUAUCUGCUGGUAUGGAAGCAUCACUAUCAAAGAUAAGAAUGUACUUUCCAAGAUGGUGAAUGUGGC